rnacentral:lncRNA from 1 species
GGGGAAGUGGCUGCAUGCCUGAGCUCGUCACUCAUUGGCACACCAGUUAUCUCUGCCCUGCAGAGAGCCAAGGCGUCCUUCAGACAGGAAAUAGGAUCUUAGUGGGUGGCCGCCAAGAGCGCACAGACUUUGAAGCAGGAAAAGACAGUCUCUAGAGCAACAUGGAAAGGAUCCAAGUAUUUGUUUUCAGGCAAAAGCAAGCCUCCAAAAGCCCCUUGGUUCUUCUCUAUGUGUCUCGCCCCUUCUGCCUUGUACACCAGACUGCUGGCAAGCAAGCGGGGAGGUGGAGAACAGCUGGGAUCCUCCAUUGAAGAGGUUGCUCAGCGCGAGAGAUGUCAAGAGGCUGGGAUUGUCGCCCAUCGGGAGGUGGGGAGCUCUCUCACUCACACUUCCUGGGAAAUGAAGGAGAACUAAUAGGCAGCCCGCAUUUGCAGCCAGCCAGCCUGGGUGGUAUUCCUUGAAGUGAAGCGCUCAUAAAUCCCUUCUGGGGCCAGAGCCGGUUUCACAAGCUGCAGGAUUUGGGUGGCCUGCCUGCUCUUUGGGAGCGGGCUUGGGAAGCUGAAGAAAUUGAAUCAGGACCUCAGGCCCUUUACAGACUCCUUUCUACACUUGGUUGCUGAUUAAGAACAUUAUGUGGCAUUUAAAAUGGCACAAUUAUCUUCCGUUGGUGGUUCCUAGCUAAAAGUAGACUCCUAUCAGCCCGUGACUGACGACAAGAAGGCUCUUCGUCCCUGUUUUUGAAAUAAACAUGGGUAUAAGCUGAAUGUGUCAACUGCUUAUUUCCUAA